rnacentral:rRNA from 1 species
AGGGUUCGAUCAUGGCUCAGAUUGAACGCUGGCGGCAGGCUUAACACAUGCAAGUCGAACGGUAACAGAACUAGCUUGCUAGUUGCUGACGAGUGGCGGACGGGUGAGUAACGCGUAGGAAUCUACCGAGUAGUGGGGGACAACAGUUGGAAACGACUGCUAAUACCGCAUAAUCCCUAAGGGGGAAAGGAGGGGACUCUUCGGAGCCUUUCGCUAUUUGAUGAGCCUGCGUGAGAUUAGCUAGUUGGUGAGGUAAUGGCUCACCAAGGCGACGAUCUCUAGCUGGUCUGAGAGGAUGAUCAGCCACACUGGAACUGAGACACGGUCCAGACUCCUACGGGAGGCAGCAGUGGGGAAUAUUGCACAAUGGGGGAAACCCUGAUGCAGCCAUGCCGCGUGUGUGAAGAAGGCCUUCGGGUUGUAAAGCACUUUCAGUGGGGAGGAAAGGUGAUCGUUUAAUAAACGGUUGCUGUGACGUUACCCACAGAAGAAGCACCGGCUAACUCCGUGCCAGCAGCCGCGGUAUACGG